rnacentral:rRNA from 1 species
UACGUAGGUGUCGAGCGUUGUCCGGAUUUAUUGGGCGUAAAGCGCCCGCAGGCGGCCAGGCAAGUCCAGGGUGAAAUCUCCCGGCUCAACCGGGAGGGUGCCCUGGAAACUGCUUGGCUUGAGGCAGGGAGAGGGAUGUGGAAUUCCCGGUGUAGUGGUGAAAUGCGUAGAUAUCGGGAGGAACACCAGUGGCGAAGGCGGCUUGCUAGAACGCAACUGACGCUUAGGCGCGAAAGCGUGGGGAGCAAGCAGG